AAAAUGAAGCCGGGAAACCGGUCCUUCUAACCCUUGAUUAUCUUAAUUUGUUGCUUUGGUGGGCCGCGCAAGCACCGGCUUCGGCUGGAUUGUGCCCGCCAGAGGACCACAACUCUGUAUUAAAUGUCGUCUGAGUACUAUAAAAUAGUUA
rnacentral:rRNA from 1 species